rnacentral:rRNA from 1 species
UGUGCCUACGGGAGGCAGCAGUGGGGAAUAUUGCGCAAUGGGGGAAACCCUGACGCAGCAACGCCGCAUGCGGGAUGAAGGCUUUCGGGUUGUAAACCGCUUUCAGCAGGGAAGAUAAUGACGGUACCUGCAGAAGAAGCCCCGGCUAACUACGUGCCAGCAGCCGCGGUAAUACGUAGGGGGCAAGCGUUAUCCGGAAUUAUUGGGUGUAAAGGGUGCGUAGACGGGAUAACAAGUUGGUUGUGAAACCCCUCGGCUCAACUGAGGAACUGCAACCAAAACUAUUAUUCUUGAGUGCAGGAGAG